GAUGAACGCUAGCGGCAGGCCUAAUACAUGCAAGUCGAGGGGUAACAUGGUCUUCGGACUGAUGACGACCGGCGCACGGGUGCGUAACGCGUAUGCAACCUACCCUUUACAGGGGGAUAGCCCAGAGAAAUUUGGAUUAAUACCCCAUAGUAUAAUUGAUUGGCAUCGAUUAAUUAUUAAAGAUUUAUUGGUAAAGGAUGGGCAUGCGUAAGAUUAGUUAGUUGGUGAGGUAAUGGCUCACCAAGGCAUCGAUCUUUAGGGGUUCUGAGAGGAUGAUCCCCCACACUGGUACUGAGAUACGGACCAGACUUCUACGGGAGGCAGCAGUAGGGAAUAUUGGUCAAUGGACGAGAGUCUGAACCAGCCAUGCCGCGUGCAGGAAGACGGCCUUCUGGGUUGUAAACUGCUUUUAUAUGGGAAGAAAAGAGUCCUGCGGGACUAAUUGCCGGUACCAUAAGAAUAAGCACCGGCUAACUCCG
rnacentral:rRNA from 1 species